rnacentral:rRNA from 1 species
ACACAUGCAAGUCGAGCGGAAACGAGUUAUCUGAACCUUCGGGGAACGAUAACGGCGUCUAGCGGCGGACGGGUGAGUAAUGCCUAGGAAAUUGCCCUGAUGUGGGGGAUAACCAUUGGAAACGAUGGCUAAUACCGCAUGAUGCCUACGGGCCAAAGAGGGGGACCUUCGGGCCUCUCGCGUCAGGAUAUGCCUAGGUGGGAUUAGCUAGUUGGUGAGGUAAGGGCUCACCAAGGCGACGAUCCCUAGCUGGUCUGAGAGGAUGAUCAGCCACACUGGAACUGAGACACGGUCCAGACUCCUACGGGAGGCAGCAGUGGGGAAUAUUGCACAAUGGGCGCAAGCCUGAUGCAGCCAUGCCGCGUGUGUGAAGAAGGCCUUCGGGUUGUAAAGCACUUUCAGUCGUGAGGAAGGUGGUGUAGUUAAUAGCUGCAUUAUUUGACGUUAGCGACAGAAGAAGCACCGGCUAACUCCGUGCCAGCAGCCGCGGUAAUACGGAGGGUGCGAGCGUUAAUCGGAAUUACUGGGCGUAAAGCGCAUGCAGGUGGUUUGUUAAGUCAGAUGUGAAAGCCCGGGGCUCAACCUCGGAAUAGCAUUUGAAACUGGCAGACUAGAGUACUGUAGAGGGGGGUAGAAUUUCAGGUGUAGCGGUGAAAUGCGUAGAGAUCUGAAGGAAUACCGGUGGCGAAGGCGGCCCCCUGGACAGAUACUGACACUCAGAUGCGAAAGCGUGGGGAGCAAACAGGAUUAGAUACCCUGGUAGUCCACGCCGUAAACGAUGUCUACUUGGAGGUUGUGGCCUUGAGCCGUGGCUUUCGGAGCUAACGCGUUAAGUAGACCGCCUGGGGAGUACGGUCGCAAGAUUAAAACUCAAAUGAAUUGACGGGGGCCCGCACAAGCGGUGGAGCAUGUGGUUUAAUUCGAUGCAACGCGAAGAACCUUACCUACUCUUGACAUCCAGAGAACUUUCCAGAGAUGGAUUGGUGCCUUCGGGAACUCUGAGACAGGUGCUGCAUGGCUGUCGUCAGCUCGUGUUGUGAAAUGUUGGGUUAAGUCCCGCAACGAGCGCAACCCUUAUCCUUGUUUGCCAGCGAGUAAUGUCGGGAACUCCAGGGAGACUGCCGGUGAUAAACCGGAGGAAGGUGGGGACGACGUCAAGUCAUCAUGGCCCUUACGAGUAGGGCUACACACGUGCUACAAUGGCGCAUACAGAGGGCGGCCAACUUGCGAAAGUGAGCGAAUCCCAAAAAGUGCGUCGUAGUCCGGAUUGGAGUCUGCAACUCGACUCCAUGAAGUCGGAAUCGCUAGUAAUCGUGGAUCAGAAUGCCACGGUGAAUACGUUCCCGGGCCUUGUACACACCGCCCGUCACACCAUGGGAGUGGGCUGCAAAAGAAGUAGGUAGUUUAACCUUCGGGGGGACGCUUACCACG